UACGUAGGCAGCAAGCGUUGUUCGGAAUUACUGGGCGUAAAGAGUGUGUAGGCGGUGUUCCAAGUCUGGUGUGAAAUCUCCCGGCUUAACUGGGAGGGUGCAUUAGAAGCUGGAAUGCUAGAGGAUGGGAGAGGUAAGCGGAAUUCCUGGUGUAGCGGUGAAAUGCGUAGAUAUCAGGAGGAACACCUGUGGUGUAGACAGCUUACUGGACCAUUUCUGACGCUGAGACACGAAAGCGUGGGUAGCAAACAGG
rnacentral:rRNA from 1 species